UCUUGGCUGACCAGGCAUGGAGGUCACCCCUCCAGGAGGCCCCUCAGUGCCACACAGAUCCCACUGUAGGGACCUUUGUUUACUCUCCUGCUGCCACUCUCCAUGACUGCCCCCUGACUGGUUUGACCUUGACACCAUCUCCCAGAUGGAAAGACUGAGGCUCAGGAGAGCUCCCUGGUCUCCCAGGGGGCGGAAGUGGCUCUCGAAUCAGCAUCUCCAGACCAGCUCAAGUCUCAGUUCUUCCAAGAAGCCUUCCUGGACUUCUCCAGCCCAGGCUGACUUCCUCCCCUCUGAAUUCCUGCUCUGUGUAUGAGUGACACCAAUCACGGUUCUGAACUUAGUCAUCGUGGCCUGCCACCUUGAAUCACGUAAACCUUAUCUCCCUCCUGAGAUCUCAAGAUCCUCCACGGUAGGAAGUGGACUUCCGUUAUUCUCUGAUUUUCCCAUGGACCCCCAAGUCCUCAACCCACACCCAGGCAACUGGGAGAGACUCUACAGCUACCCCUUGAAUGAAUAGCAAUAGGUUCCAGGAGUGCUGUGGUAGUGGCUGGGGUGGGACAGGGGUGAGACAGGGUUGACCACAAGCAUGUCUCCAACCAAAAACAUUUU